rnacentral:siRNA from 1 species
UGCAGAUCUUGGUGGUAGUA